CAAUACGAGCGGCAGACGGGUGAGUAACGCGUGGGAAUCUACCCAUCUCUACGGAACAACUCCGGGAAACUGGAGCUAAUACCGUAUACGUCCUUUUGGAGAAAGAUUUAUCGGAGAUGGAUGAGCCCGCGUUGGAUUAGCUAGUUGGUGGGGUAAUGGCCUACCAAGGCGACGAUCCAUAGCUGGUCUGAGAGGAUGAUCAGCCACACUGGGACUGAGACACGGCCCAGACUCCUACGGGAGGCAGCAGUA
rnacentral:rRNA from 1 species